AAUUUAUGAUUUAUUAUAUUUAAAAGAUAUUUAAAUCUAAAAUAAAAUCUCUUUGUUAAUAAUUUUUGUGCAAAGAAAUUAUUUAAAGUUGAAAUUGUUUCAAUUACAUGAACCUGUUUAGAUUAGAUCUAAAGUAGUUUCAUGUUUAUUUCACUUGCAUCUUGAUUAUGAAUCAAACAUGCAAUAUGGUUGGUAGAACCAUAUUAUAAAAUUAUUUUAUAAAUAUAAAAAUUAUUUUUGAAAAGCCGAACCCAACCCUC
rnacentral:lncRNA from 1 species